rnacentral:rRNA from 1 species
UACGUAGGGUGCAAGCGUUAAUCGGAAUUACUGGGCGUAAAGCGUGCGCAGGCGGUUGUGCAAGACAGAGGUGAAAUCCCCGGGCUUAACCUGGGAAUGGCCUUUGUGACUGCACGGCUAGAGUGUGUCAGAGGGGGGUAGAAUUCCACGUGUAGCAGUGAAAUGCGUAGAGAUGUGGAGGAAUACCGAUGGCGAAGGCAGCCCCCUGGGAUAACACUGACGCUCAUGCACGAAAGCGUGGGGAGCAAACAGG